AUUGAACGCUGGCGGAAUGCUUUACACAUGCAAGUCGAACGGUAGAGGGGGCAACCCCUCGAGAGUGGCGAACGGGUGAGUAAUAUAUCGGAACGUGCCCAGUCGUGGGGGAUAACGUAGCGAAAGUUACGCUAAUACCGCAUACGAUCUAAGGAUGAAAGCGGGGGAUCGCAAGACCUCGCGCGAUUGGAGCGGCCGAUAUCAGAUUAGGUAGUUGGUGGGGUAAAGGCUCACCAAGCCAACGAUCUGUAGCUGGUCUGAGAGGACGACCAGCCACACUGGAACUGAGACACGGUCCAGACUCCUAAGGGAGGCAGCAGUGGGGAAUUUUGGACAAUGGACGCAAGUCUGAUCCAGCCAUUCCGCGUGCAGGAUGAAGGCCCUCGGGUUGUAAACUGCUUUUGCACGGAACGAAAAGGUCUCUCUUAAUACGGGGGGCUCAUGACGGUACCGUAAGAAUAAGCACCGGCUAACUACGUGCCAGCCGCCGCGGUAA
rnacentral:rRNA from 1 species